AAAAAAACCCCAGGAAACAAGAUAAAAAAUUUUGGAACCGCACAGCUUUAUUUCACAUAUGUUUUUAAAAAACCAUUGAAUGGGAAAAAUUGAAAGGAGUACAUCUUAUUAAGAAAUUUUGAUUUGUAAAAAAUAAAUGUUAGAUUCGCAAAUGCCAAAACUCGGCUUGCAAAUGCCUCGAACCCUGAGAUUAUCAUCACAAUAAUAUUCAAACACUAAUAAUGUCAAUGUUUUUCUUUUAGACUAAAUCUCAACUACUAAGGUUGUUCAAACUGUUAAUUGCAUCAUGGGAAAGACGAAGCUUCACAUUAACAUUGUUGUUAUUGGUCAUGUGGACUCUGGCAAAUCGACCACCACUGGUCAUUUGAUCUACAAAUGUGGUGGAAUUGAUAAGCGAGCUAUUGAAAAGUUUGAGAAAGAGGCGGCUGAGGUAAGAACUUUAUUCUUUGAUUGGCUCUAAAUGUAGGGAUUGACAUUUUAAAUAUUUUUUAGUCACCCAAAGAUCUGGUAAGUGGUGGAAACUUUGCAAAAUAUUGGGGGGGGGGGUGCGAGUGCCGAAGGUAUUCUAGAUGAUUAAAUACAUUUGUGAAUGGAAUUGCAAGAUGGUUUGACAACUCUUUCUCGACAAGUCC
rnacentral:lncRNA from 1 species